GGGCCCGCACAAGCGGUGGAGCAUGUGGUUUAAUUCGAUGAUACGCGAGGAACCUUACCAGGGCUUAAAUGUUAGGUGACAGAUCUAGAAAUAGAUUUUUCUUCGGACACUUAACAAGGUGCUGCAUGGUUGUCGUCAGCUCGUGCCGUGAGGUGUCAGGUUAAGUCCUAUAACGAGCGCAACCCCUGUUGUUAGUUGCCAGCGAGUAAUGUCGGGAACUCUAGCAAGACUGCCAGUGCAAACUGUGAGGAAGGUGGGGAUGACGUCAAAUCAUCACGGCCCUUACGUCCUGGGCUACACACGUGCUACAAUGGUAGGUACAGAGAGCAGCCAAUGCGCGAGCAUGAGCAAAUCUGUAAAGCCUGUCACAGUUCGGAUCGGAGUCUGCAACUCGACUCCGUGAAGCUGGAGUCGCUAGUAAUCG
rnacentral:rRNA from 1 species